rnacentral:snoRNA from 1 species
CUCACUUCAAAUGCUGAGUUAAAAUAUGUCAUUUUUUCGCACGAGAUGUAGAGACAAUUCACAGAGCUAGCAUUAUUUUUCCUCCUGUCUUCAGAGGUAUAUUCUGCUGUUUUGUGAGACAUUU